UCCCUUUGCCAAAAGUGUAAUCGGCCAGCUGUUACUCUGCUGGCAGUAAUAAUCACCAGCAUCAUCAGCUUCUACGCUGCUGAUUGUGAAUGUGAAAUCAGUG